UACAAGGAGGUAAGGGGUGGAUACAGGUUAAUAGAUGGGUGAGAGAGAGAGGAUACAGGUUAAUACAAGGGAGUAAGGGGUGGAUACAGGUUAAUAGAUGGGUGAGAGAGAGAGGAUACAGGUUAAUACAAGGAGGUAAAGGGUGGAUACAGGUUAAUACAAGGGAGUAAGGGGUGGAUACAGGUUAAUACAUGGGUGAGAGAGAGAGGAUACAGGUUAAUACAAAGGAGUAAGGGGUGGAUACAGGUUAAUACAUGGGUGAGAGAGAGAGGAUACAGGUUAAUACAAGGGGUCAAGGGGUUUAGUUAGUGCCAAGGGGGGAAAUUGUUACUCCUGGAAAGCAAUUAGUCCACUCUGAAAGAAGGAUUUACAAGCACAAGGCAAACAAUUAUCUAUUCAUACAAAUAACAUAUAAAAUCCCUCCACUUUCACACUUGUAAAACCAAAACACUUACAACUUAAUACACUUCAAAACAAAAACAAAAAAAUAGUUAAAAUUCAUGCACUUUCUAAUUAAAACCAAUAUACUUUUAAACAUGGAGACAAUCAAAACAGUAUUACCAACACCCCU